rnacentral:rRNA from 1 species
UACGUAGGCAGCGAGCGUUGUUCGGAGUUACUGGGCGUAAAGGGUGUGUAGGCGGUUGUUUAAGUUUGGUGUGAAAUCUCCCGGCUCAACUGGGAGGGUGCGCCGAAUACUGAAUGACUUCGAAUGCGGGAGAGGAGAGUGGAAUUCCUGGUGUAGCGGUGAAAUGCGUAGAUAUCAGGAGGAACACCGGUGGUGUAGACGGCUCUCUGGACCGUAACUGACGCUGAGGCACGAAAGCGUGGGUAGCAAACAGG